GUUGAAACUAGAAGCAAUGAAUUACAAAAAAGACAAAACAAGAUCCUAUACUCCCCAUAUGACAAACCCAAGGCAACAUUCCUCAUGAAUCUAGAGCCUAAACUCUAAUACAACUUUGUCACGACCCAAUUUCUAAGUCAGACCAGCAUUAGGACUUGGGUCUAAGGGUCUCGAAACCCGUUUUAAACCUAAGUAGUCUAUAACCUAAUAACAAA
rnacentral:misc_RNA from 1 species